rnacentral:misc_RNA from 1 species
GGAAGUAAAAGUCGUAAUAAGGUUUCCGUAGGUGAACCUGCGGAAGGAUCAUUACUGAGUGAGGGCCCCUCGGGGUCCAACCUCCCACCCGUGUUUAACGAACCUUGUUGCUUCGGCGGGCCCGCCUCACGGCCGCCGGGGGGCAUCUGCCCCCGGGCCCGCGCCCGCCGAAGCCACCUGUGAACGCUGUCUGAAGUAUGCAGUCUGAGACAAUUAUUAAAUUAAUUAAAACUUUCAACAACGGAUCUCUUGGUUCCG